CUACUAGGGUUUCUAAUCCUGUUUGCUCCCCACGCUUUCGCGUCUCAGCGUCAGCAACGAUCCAGAGGGCCGCCUUCGCCGCCGGUGUUCCUCCUGAUAUCUACGCAUUUCACCGCUACACCAGGAAUUCCACCCUCCUCUAUCGCGCUCCAGUCGGCUAGUUUCCGAUGCACUUCCGGAGCUGAGCCCCGGGCUUUCACACCAGACUUGACCAACCGCCUACACGCCCUUUACGCCCAGUCAAUCCGAACAACGCUUGCACCCUCCGUCUUACCGCGGCUGCUGGCAC
rnacentral:rRNA from 1 species